UGUGUAGGCGGGGAGGCAAGUCAGAUGUGAAAGCUAUGAGCUCAACCCAUGAAGUGCAUUUGAAACUGUUUCUCUUGAGUGUCGGAGGGGUAAAUGGAAUUCCCAGUGUAGCGGUGAAAUGCGUAGAUAUUGGGAGGAACACCAGUGGCGAAGGCGAUUUACUGGACGACAACUGACGCUGAGACACGAAAGCGUGGGGAGCAAACA
rnacentral:rRNA from 1 species